rnacentral:snRNA from 1 species
AGCUUUGCGCAGUGGCAGUAUUGUAGCCAAUGAGGUGUAUCCGAGGCACGAUUAUUGCUAAUUGAAAACUUUUCCCAAUACCUCACCAUGAUGACUUAAAAUAUAGUCAGCUUUGGCAGUCUCUACUGGGA